AACCAAAAAUCUCUCACUACCAUCUGCCAUCACAAUUUCAUUUGGCAGACGAUCCUAAUGCCAGAAGAAAAAGUCUCAUAUCUGCAAGUAAGUCCCUGUGACUAUCCUGUCAUACAUAAGGAAACACCAGAAACCUAAACGGUCGGACACAUCAUCGUCGGUGCUAGCAAAAAAAAGUAAAGAAAAAAGGGGAAGCUUCAUAUUCUUUCCAGCAUCAUGAUAUUUAAGCGUUGAAUUCUCCACGGCACCCAUCGUAGUCUGGUGCUUGAUCACACUUACUUUGAAGGGCUUAUCUUGAGACACUCACUGCAGCAAAUGGUAAAACUGUUGGCAUCAUCAGAAGGCAAGUACACAAAGAUCCUCCUCGACUGACUCGGAAGCGCGAAAACCGCACCUCUCUCGCUGGUUUCUGUGCGGAGGGGCAAUCCCUACGCCGGGAAGAGGAGAUCGGACAAGGAGAGCCAGCUCUCCAUGGCCGAAAAGUAUAAGCACCGGAGGGAAGGAAGAACGGGCAGCGUGGCCAACUUGUCAAAAGCCCAGCUUGCAAUCAACCACAACAAUCCACUGGCUCCCAACUCCACAACCUUGAAGUGCAGCGUGACAGCUUGGGAUAAGAACAAAACCAAUGCCAUGGUAGCUCGAGAACACCAUCAUGCAUGCCACCAUCAGAUGACGACUACAUGUCAUGCAAACAAACCAUCAUCAUCACCCAUCCAUCCUUCCAAUUUUUCACACAGUGGCCGUGAGAGCUUCGGGGGGGAUGCAAAUUUGUCUCGUGUUGAUGACCGGCAACAGGCAGACCACGCAACAUCUAAUCAUUAAGUCUCUAUUUCUUUGUCUCUUUGGUGCAGUGACCACGGCGGGGUCCGGUGGACACUUGGUAGGUCUCCUCUCAAAUCCUGCAUGGUGAUAAGACUGGAGUCGGCAGGCAUAUUGCAUUUCUAUCCGCAUCGUCCGUUUGUUCUGUGGCCUUCCCUUCUCUCUGCAAGUAUGACCUACAAUUUUUUAUCCUUUUAAUGCAUGCAUAUUGAGAAGAAAGAUCAUCACCAGCUUGUCCACUUGUGAGUCUCGAUGUGCAUCACUCCUUACUAUUCUAUCUCCCCGAUCGAUACAUCAACAAUCAUCAAGCAUAAGAAAAUGACGCAUCACCAUCAGCUCCACUUGUAAGUUUGUAACCUUCUUUUCUCUAUGCCCAGACUCAGGAACUGGAAGAAGAUGCAGGAAACUUCUAAUCGGUGCUGUGAGCUUGAAUCUUCUGCUGCACAGAUUUAAGUAAGUCCACUUUGUUUUUUUUUUUUUUUAAGUUGAGAAUAAAUAAAAUUCGGGUUUUUAAUUAUGCUUAAAAUUGGUUAAUCAAAUGGAAGGAUAUUUAUUAUUAUUAUUAUUAUUAUAGUAAGGGAUAAAUUGAGACGAUGGUCAUAGAUUGAAGAUAUUUCAAAUCAGAGUGUGGGUGCUACUUGAUCAAAGAAGAAGAAGAAGACAUCCAUCUCAUGAGACUUACAGAAAAUAACAGCUUAAUCCGAGCGGCUGGGGAAGGGAACAUGAACGUGCAACCGAGCACUGACUUCACUAUUUUGACAAGCUAAUUUCAUCAGCGUCGAGAGAGGGACACUUGGACAUUAUUUGCAUCAGGAAUGAUGUGAUGAUAAGGAUGGAUGAGCAACGGGACGCUAUCGAAGCUAUGCAAAACUCACUAUCAAGUUGAAUUUGAGAGGGAAGAAAAUAUCAUCAACUCCGUGGCAGGAACUAAUGCUUAUGGAUUGCAUUGAGCCACCACCUCAUAUGGGUUCUAUCUCGAUCAUGUGAAAAUAACAUUUUGAUUUGAUGCAUUGAGCUACAACAAUGCAUCCACCACAUCUCAUCUUUUCACAACAUGGGCUCUACUGCUUCAUAACCCAAC